AGCUUUGUGCAGUGGCAGUAUCAUAGCCAAUGAGGUUUAUCCGAGGCGCAAUUAUUGCUAAUUGAAAACUUUUCCCAAAGAAG
rnacentral:snRNA from 1 species